rnacentral:lncRNA from 1 species
AUCUCUUAAUUCUUGAAGAAGAUUGAUUUUGUUCUUGAGGAUUAAUUUUAUAGAGAAACCCUAAUUUUGUUGGUGUGAAAUAAUAAUGAAUAAAGGGGCUGAAAUUGAAUAUAACUGGGUGGUAAAAUACCAAAAUACCCUUGUUAAAAUGACUUAAAAUAACUGAGCGGGACGUGAGACGGUGGGGUGCGACGGUCCAUCGCUGGGUCGAAGGUCCAUCGGACCUCUCCAU